CCCCACUCCACAUCUGCCUCAUAGGGCUUCCUUGCCUUCCUUCAUCUGGCCUUAUUGAGGGCAGCCUCUUAGCUCAGCCAUAGUCUUAGGUUUUGGGUCUCUGUGGUGGGAUUAGGCUGGGCAGAGCUUUGGGAGAAAGGAGCAGGAGAUUCAGCCUUUGCUUCUGUCCUCUAAGAGCUCCCAGACCACCUGGAGAGGUAAGCAUCAUGAUUAGACUAUAUGUGGUGACAUAUAAACAGAGGCUAAAUUGUGUGUUAGAAACUCUGAGAUAUAGAAGUUCAGAGGAGAGGAAAAUAGCUAAGGGUAAUAAUCAGGGAAAAUGUCAGAAAUGAGACUUGAAGGAUAGGAAUAUUAAGAAAAAAAUGUUCUUUCAAUUUCUGAGUUUUUGUUGUUUUUUUUCUUUUUUAGAAAGUUUGAGGCAUGAGCCACCAUGCCCGGCCCUGUUUUCCAUCUUUCAAGGUACUGGAAUAUUCAAUGCCAUUUUCCCAGCCUUACAGUUCUAGUCUGGGCAUAAAAAACCUUCUCUAAGCACCCUGCAUAGAACCACAUUUUAGAGGCCAGGCGUGGUGGCUCACGCCUGUAAUCCCAGCACUUGGGAGGCCAAGGCGGGCGGAUCACAGGGUCAGGAGUUUGAGACCAGCCUGGCCAACAUGGUGAAACCCCAUCUCUACUAAAAAUACAAAAAUUAGCGGGGCGUGGUGGCGGGCACCUGUAAUCCCAGCUACUCGGGAAGCUGAGGCAGGAGAAUCG
rnacentral:sRNA from 1 species